GGUUCUCAACCCUGGCUGCACAUUAGGAUCACCUGGGGAGCUUUUAAAAAAACUCUGAUGCCUGGGCUUCACCUCAGACCAAUUCAGUCACGGUCGAUGCGGGUGGAUGUCAGUGUGCUGUGAAACUCCCCAGGUGCUUCUCAUGUGCAGCCAGGGCUGAGCACUCUGCUGCUUUCCCCCCUCUCUGUCAGAAAAUGAGCAUGGGGGAAACAGAGCCGACUUGUGUGGACAGGGUGCACGGACCACUAAUAGAAUUUUGACGUUGUGGCUCCUUAAAUAGCCUCCCAAUUGGUAUGCACAUAUUAGAAGCUCACGCGGAGGCGAAGGCCGAGGUGCAUGCAGCUGCCGCCUGGACGUGCGUCCAGUCCAUGUUGACGUUUGAAGAGUCACAGAGUGUGGCCUGGGUUACUUCAUCUAUAAGAGGAAGGACACAGUGAUCUCUGCAGGGACUCCAACCACUUCCCCCGCUUAUGGGCCUGGGCUUUGGACAACACAAGAGGUCCAAUCUAAGAGGCAGAGCCUGGGCUGAAGCCCUGAGCCUGAGCUCCCCAGCCCUGCACUGCCCUGUGGGUGGCAGUGAAGACUUCACUACUCCCAUCUCUAAACUCCAGGUAGCUCUCCAUCACUUGGUCAUCUCAGAGAUAACCGCCUACAAACAAGCCAACUUUGAUAUGCAAAAAUAUAAAACUGACAAUGACCACAGAAACAUAGCAAUCCAUAAACCUUGUGAGCUAUACAAUCCAGAUGUGAAAAUGAUGUUUAACCAAUGAUGCUUGUUUCACUAAAAUGACCAAAUUUUGUAUCAUGUUGGCAUGAAUACUAUAUGCUUGAAAUCCUCCUUGUAUGAAGAGAAACUUCUUAGAAAAUUUAAUGCUUUCUAUUUUAGUUCAUGAAUAUUGUCUUACUUUUUAAGUUUUCUUUCUGAUAAUGAUUUUUUACUACUUCUUAUAUCUGGUCUCUUUCAAAUUCUGUGUAAUUUUACCACCUCAAGGCUUUUGUUUCAUUUAACUCUUAUCCUCAUCCUUGACUUUAUGCUACAUGCGUGUCUCUGCUUCUUUAAAAGGUAAAUCAUGUAAUUACAGCCUGUUAACAGUAACUUUCUACUUACUCUUCAAAAUAAGUUUACUCUCUGCUUAGGAGUAAGUAAAAGUAAAUAUCAGUGUCCAGUGUCAGCCUGUUUGAGAAUAUAAAUAAAAAAUUCUCAUAAACAUGAAUGGACAAAAGGGAAAUACAAUGGAGGCUUUCACUCCCUUGGAAACUAACCAGCCAACAACCAUGUGGUGUAAUUGAACCUGGCCGUGGAGCAAGGUGCUUGUGGAAGUUUGAGGAAUAGUCUCAUUUCCUUCCUUCCUCCCUCCCUCCCUCCCUCCCUCUCACUCUUCUUCCCUUCCUCUCUUCCUUCCUUCCUCCUUUUUUUCCUCCCUCCCUUCAUUUUUUCCUUCCUUCCUUCCUCCCUCCUUUCUCCUCUCCCCUCCAUUUCUCUCUCUCUCCUUCUGCUUCUUUUAUGUUGAGUGGCUCAAUCAUGGCAAUAUAUGACCGUUGAUAUGUAAGAAAGCAUUACUUUCCUCCACACUUUAGACUGUGGUCCCACUCAGAAGGAGCCCUGAAAUAUGGGGAAAGUAAAUACUAUUAGCCUUUAUAACAUCUCAAACCAUAGGACAAAAGGAGUUUUGUCAUCUCUGCCCAGACCUGAAACCCAAAGAGGGUCCUACUGUGUCACAACUCUCAAGAUAUUAAGAAAUAUUAAAUAACUAGAGGGGCCUGAAAACAAAGGUCCACUCAGUGGAUAAUCUUCUUUUAUAUUAACAAUCAUUUUUAAGUAGCUGGGGUCAAAGAUGACAGCUGAGAUGGUCCAGAACUGCUUCCUUCUUCUGACACAAAAGUCACAAUGAUGCAGGGGUUUAGGGGAGGGAACUCAGAGAAGGCUCUGACGAAUGGCCGGCACAGCCCUGUGCUUCCCAAAGCGGGGCAAGGAGGAGUCAUGGAGGACAAGAGCUGGCCAAGGAGAUAGGUGAUGAGAAGACUAGAAUAAGAAUAGGAGAGCUGUUGGUAUGGUCCUUGGUGAUGUGUGCCCUUCCUUCUACAUGACCUGGCUCUCUGGCUCAGGGUGACACUUUAUCCCUUAAAUUUCCUCCACCAUCCUUAUUUGUUUCUCUUUACAUGAGACACAGGUAUUAAAAUACAGCCAGAAAAAAACCGUAUUUCAUCUGAUUAAAGGUUGGGACCUCAUACAUUAGAAUUUAAAGCCUCAACUAUAUAAAUUAUUUAAAAUAUCAAC
ensembl:lncRNA